ACUCCAUGGAACUUCUUAAAACCGGUCAUAUGAAUUGUCACAGCUGGAGGCCCUUCCGAACCCAUUUUCUUGCAACUGAAUUAUAAAUUAAUAAUUUGUUAUCGCGUCGAGAUGGAAGCUCACCUUCAAGCACCUGGAGAGGAGAGGAGAGGAUGAUUGAAUUGAAAAGGGUCGAUCCCUAUCUUAUCAGAAA